AGUGAACGCUGGCGGUAGGCCUAACACAUGCAAGUCGAACGGCAGCACAGUAAGAGCUUGCUCUUACGGGUGGCGAGUGGCGGACGGGUGAGGAAUACAUCGGAAUCUACUUUUUCGUGGGGGAUAACGUAGGGAAACUUACGCUAAUACCGCAUACGACCUACGGGUGAAAGCGGGGGAUCUUCGGACCUUGCGCGAUUGAAUGAGCCGCUGUCGGAUUAGCUAGUUGGCGGGGUAAAGGCCCACCAAGGCGACGAUCCGUAGCUGGUCGGAGAGGAUGAUCAGCGACACUGGAACUGAGACACGGUCCAGACUCCUACGGGAGGCAGCAGUGGGGAAUAGUGGACAAUGGGCGCAAGCCUGAUCCAGCCAGACCGCGUGGGUGAAGAAGGCCUUCGGGUUGUAAAGCCCUUUUGUUGGGAAAGAAAAGCAGCAGGUUAAUACCCCGCUGUUCUGACGGUACCCAAAGAAUAAGCACCGGCUAACUUCGUG
rnacentral:rRNA from 1 species